AACGCACCUUGCGCUCUAUGGCAAUCCGUAGAGCAUGCCUGUUUGAGUGCCGUGAAAUCUCCCACCCCAAGCGGUUUUUACAUGAAACGGCUUGGCGGAUGGGGUCUGGAUGGGUGCCUCUGCCUGCGCUACCUAGCACAGGCUCGCCCGAAAUGCAUGAGCGCCUUGAGACACUUUGCAUCCGCCUCUCUGUUUGGGAGGAGGCGGCCAAGCAGUGUUUUUCUCCUGGCAUGGCAUGAUACGUCAUUUGCUAUGUCGCCUAAAGGAGGAAUGUUUGGUUGUGUCAGCGUGUGCUUCGAACUUGCCUCUGUGGCACAUCCCAAUUUCACUUCUGGUCUCAAAUCAGGUAGGAUCACCCGCUGAACUUAA
rnacentral:misc_RNA from 1 species